UACAUAGGGGGCAAGCGUUAUUCGGAAUUAUUGGGCGUAAAGGGCGCGUAGGCGGCAUGGCAAGUGGAUGGUGAAAUCCCUCGGCUUAACCGAGGAACUGCCGUCCAAACUGCUUCGCUUGAGACCGGGAGAGGUGAGUGGAAUUCCCAGUGUAGCGGUGAAAUGCGUAGAUAUUGGGAGGAACACCAGUGGCGAAGGCGGCUCACUGGACCGGUACUGACGCUGAUGCGCGAAAGCGUGGGGAGCAAACGGG
rnacentral:rRNA from 1 species